rnacentral:lncRNA from 1 species
UAAAAUACCAUAAUGUUGAAGUCCUAAAUUACAAUGUUUUGCAAUCAUUAGUAGUUAAGUGACAUUUUCCUUAAUUAAAGGGAGUCAAUAUGCAAUCCAAAUUACUAUGGAAUUUCAUUCAAACUUUAUUCUGUAUUCAACGAACGGAUACCUCCAUAAUCCCAAAUCGAAAUAUCCCUCGUUUCCCACGCUUCGAAUUUGAGCACACCCCCUAGCACUUUUGCUACUUUUGCCUAUUAUAGCUGCUGUCCCUUUCUCCUUCGAAUCCCAAUUUUCCACCAGGUGUUUGUUUCCAAUUUUUCUCAAGGCACGCGUCCAUUGGGUUGAACAUUUUUUUCCUCGUUAAAGGCGGCGUUUUCUGCCACCUUUUUUCUGGUAUGUGCUGAAUCUCCCCGUCUGUUUGAUUUUGUUGGUAAAUUCUUAUCGGAAUUUUGGCUUCUCUUUUUUUUGCCCCCUCAAAAUUCUCAUGGGUGAUUGAUUAAUAUGUCGUUUUGAAAUAAAUACCUUAUUCUGUGCAGAUUUUUGGCUAUUGCAAGGGCAUCUAGGUAGGCAUUGGAUCCUUUUAUUUUCUUGGGAAGGGUGGUUGGGUUUGUUGGACGAAAGGAUCAAAUGCUGUUUUCUGAUUAAAAACUUUACAUUUAUUAUAAAACCUUUGUCUGAAAAUAUGGGUUAAUUGAUUGAAACAUUUGGUGUUUUAAUGUGUGCGAAAUUUGCAAGUUUCAGAGG